UUAACACGUAGUCAACCUGCCCUGGAGACAUGGAAAACCCCGGGAAACUGGGAUUAAUCCGUGAUAGGUCGCCUCAUCUGGAAGGAGAGAUGGCUUAAAGGGGUGCGAGAGCUUCUUUCUUGCAUUCGCUCCAGGAUGGGACUGCGGCCGAUCAGGCUGUUGGCGGUGUAAUGGACCACCAAACCUGUAACCGGUACGGGCCUUGAGAGAGGGGGCCCGGAGAUGGACACUGAGAGAAGGGUCCAGGUCCUACGGGGCGCAGCAGGCGCGAAACCUUCGCAAUGCGCGAAAGCGUGACGAGGUUAAUCCGAGUGGUCCCCGCUGAGGGGAUCUUUUGUUGGCUGUAAAAAGGCCGAUGAAUAAGGGGAGGGCAAGUCUGGUGUCAGCCGCCGCGGUAAUACCAGCUCCUCGAGUGGUCGGGGCGAUUAUUGGGCCUAAAGCAUCCGUACCCGGUUCUGUAGGUCCUCUGUCAAAUCCAACGGCUUAACCGUUGGCCCGCAAAGGAUACCGCAGGACU
rnacentral:rRNA from 1 species